UUUUUUUUUUUUUUUUUUUGAGACGGAGUCUUGCUCAGUCGCCCAGGCUGGAGUGCAGUGGCUGGAUCUCAGCUCACUGCAAGCUCCGCCUCCCGGGUUUACGCCAAUCUCCUGCCUCAGCCUCCCGAGUAGCUGGGACUACAGGCGCCUGCCACCUCAUCCAGCUAGUUUUUUGUAUUUUUUAGUAGAGACAGGGUUUCAUCGUGUUAGCCAGGAUGGUCUCGAUCUCCCGACCUCGUGAUCCGCCGGUCUCAGCCUCCCAAAGUGCUGGGAUUACAGGCUUGAGCCACCGCGCCCGGCCCCAAGAUCAUUAGGAUUACAGGCUUGAGCCACCGCGCCCGGCCCCAAGAUCCUUUCUUAUAGAAAAUCUCUUUCUUUAUAAUCUUUGUAUAGCUAGGAAGCAUGGCUAAUUCCACAUGUCCCCAGGCCUAUCUAGAACCUAAUAGCUUUAAGGUAGGUAAAUUGAACAAGUUUUUAAAGUUAAAGAAGCAGUUUAUGACCUUAAAGCAUUUAGCAAACUUAAUAUCUGACCUGCAUAAUUUAGACUAAAUGUUUUUAUCAAUAAUUUUUAAAGCUGUUUUUAUUUCCCAAAGAUUACUAAAGUUACAUGAACUAAAAGGCAUUGCAGUUUUCAUUUUGCCUUCAAAAUAUUUAAGUGCGUAUUUUUGUUUAAGCCAAUUAAUUAGAGCUCUUUUAUAUAAACAUUACACAGAACACAUAUAUAGCUACAUGGAAAGACAGAAGAAGAUUACUGCAGUAGUUGUAAGAUUUUUCAUUUGCCAGUUUUUAAGUUUCUUAAUUGGAUGACUGGCUUUCUGGGGGAGCCCUUGGAAGAACAGGGCCAGGAAAGGGGUCUCUGGUGCCUCUUGUUUUUCUCAAGGAGUCCAGGCUGUUAGAGCUUGAAUAUCCACUUUUAAUUAAACUGGUUUUAACCAUAGUACUCUUUAAUAAAGUCCUUUUAGAAUUUCUUAUGCCAAACAGCCAAUAUUUCUGGCCUUUGAACUUUACCGAAGGUAACCUCCCAGGGGCUUAGAAAAAGGAAAAUUUAAGACAGUCCACAGAGGAGGAGAAAAUAGACAAGGCCACGCAGGUAUUGAACCAGAAAGGACUUACUUCCUAGGUGGGGAAUUGAACCAGGACCGUGACUGUGAAAGUGCAAAACCUUAGCUACUGAGCUCUAGCACGGGGCAGCCUCCAUUUCCCUUCCCAGAAGGAGUCUAGAAUAGUUAAUUUUGAACUUGCAAAGGCUUUUUAUUUAAUAUGAUUUUGAGAGCUAACUAUGGCAUGAACCCUAAAAUUCCUUUUCCUUGGAAGGCGGAGACCAAAAGUACUGCCAUGUGGUUACAAGGUCAAGCUCCCAAGGACAUAAAACAAGGUGGAGACUUCAUCCAGUUUUUUGUUUGUUUCAGGGACCUGCAGCCAAGUUUGUUACUGACCAGCUUGCGGGGCUGUCUUGAAAAGUGGGCUUACCCGUGUUUUAAGGUCAUGUUUUAUCCAUGAAGUACC
rnacentral:lncRNA from 1 species